AAUUGGAUAUUUUUGAUAGGUUCAAGUGAUUGAUUAAAAGGGAAGCGAGGUGAAAGUCCUACACGGUCCCGCCACUGUGAGAGUGUAGUCGGCAUGUAUACCACUGGGAAACUGGGAAGGUUUGUCGAUGUAUAUGCUUUAGUCAGGAGACCUGCCUAUCGAUGGUACCAGUA
rnacentral:ncRNA from 2 species